rnacentral:rRNA from 1 species
ACGCUCGACACCUACGGGCAGCAGUGGGGAAUAUUGCACAAUGGGGGAAACCCUGAUGCAGCGACGCCGCGUGAGUGAAGAAGUAUUUCGGUAUGUAAAGCUCUAUCAGCAGGGAAGAAAAUGACGGUACCUGACUAAGAAGCCCCGGCUAACUACGUGACAGCAGCCGCGGUAAUCUGAGCGGGCUGGCAAGGC